GACAGAGGGUGCAAACGUUGUUCGGAAUUACUGGGCGUAAAGCGCACGUAGGCGGCUCUUUAAGUCGGGGGUGAAACCCUGGAGCUCAACUCCAGAACUGCCUUCGAUACUGUAGAGCUUGAGUUCGGGAGAGGUGAGUGGAACUGCGAGUGUAGAGGUGAAAUUCGUAGAUAUUCGCAAGAACACCAGUGGCGAAGGCGGCUCACUGGCCCGAUACUGACGCUGAGGUGCGAAAGCGUGGGGAGCAAACAGG
rnacentral:rRNA from 1 species